rnacentral:rRNA from 1 species
GUCAGACUUUAGUAAGAAGAAUUUUGAAGCAAAUUAACACACUAGCAGCAUUACGAGUGGUGAAAUAUUAAAAUAAACACCUCUACCCGUGUGUAUUAAAGGCUAAACACUACUGCUAAACAGGGAUUAGAGACCCCUUUAUACAAGUGCUCAAUAAAAUUUGCGGAGCACUAAGGCUUGCAGAGCUAAAACUUAACCAACAUGGCGGUAACUUUAAUUUAGGGGAACUUACCAAGUAAAUGACAACCACCAAGGUGAAGCAACUAUAGGCAAAUCUUGUAUGCCGUCGUCGGCAGGUAGCACUUGAUGUGCCACCUGAAUAAUUCCUUUAAAAAGACAGAUCAAGGUGCAGACAGUCUUAUAGUAGCGGCGAGUUACAGUUUAUAGUAGUAACGGAUAAGCCGAGUAAUAGGCACUGAAGGCGGACUUAACAGUAAUAAAGACUACGUAUAGUUUAUGA